GUAGGUGAACCUGCGGAAGGAUCAUUACAAAACAAAAUCCAAACCACACCAAAUGUGCUCUAUAAAUGCUGAGAAGCUGUCUUUGUGUGUGUGUGCGUAUGUUACUGUCUGUGUGAGGAGAAAAAUUUAUUUUUUCCUCCUCGCACUCUCACACACACACACACGCACACACAAUCCUUCUUUUCAGCAUUGUCUUUGUUUAUCAAUUUUUUCAUUAACUCCUUGUUUAACCAACAGCGGAUUACAAUGU
rnacentral:misc_RNA from 1 species